GAUGAACGCUGGCGGCGUGCCUAAUACAUGCAAGUCGAGCGAACAGACGAGGAGCUUGCUCCUCUGACGUUAGCGGCGGACGGGUGAGUAACACGUGGAUAACCUACCUAUAAGUCUGGGAUAACUUCGGGAAACCGGAGCUAAUCCCGGAUAAUAUAUUGCACCGCAUGGUUCAAUAGUGAAAGUCGGUUUUGCUGUCACUUAUAGAUGGAUCCGCGCCGCAUUAGCUAGUUGGUAAGGUAACGGCUUACCAAGGCAACGAUGCGUAGCCGACCUGAGAGGGUGAUCGGCCACACUGGAACUGAGACACGGUCCAGACUCCUACGGGAGGCAGCAGUAGGGAAUCUUCCGCAAUGGGCGAAAGCCUGACGGAGCAACGCCGCGUGAGUGAUGAAGGUCUUCGGAUCGUAAAACUCUGUUAUUAGGGAAGAACAAAUGUGUAAGUAACUAUGCACGUCUUGACGGUACCUAAUCAGAAAGCCACGGCUAACUACGUG
rnacentral:rRNA from 1 species